ensembl:lncRNA
CUGGUCUCUCUGAAUCUGGUUCUAAUUCUCUAGUCCACCUCUUCCUGGCUCCUCACCAGCCCAGACCCUCUUGCUCAGUGCAGCUGACAGUGUAAAAGUCAAAGGUCACAUGUUCCAUUAGCGGUUGGAGGAUGAGCUUCUCUCUGUGUGGCGCCCUGGGGCAAUGGAAAGGGCACAGAGAAGCAUAGCCUGCAUCCCAAAUAGCACUCAAUUCCCACCUAUAUGGUAAACCUGCUGUGGAUGAGAUAAGAGCCACAGCUCUGUAGUGUAACAGACCUGGGUUCAAAUAGUAUUUGUUUCCUGUCAGGUACAUUACAUACAGAUACAGAGAUUAGUUGAAAGAAAAAGACAAGCGAUUUUGAUCCCAGGUUUGCGUCAGUAUAUGGAUGGAGGUGGAACCCCACCCACAUCUCAUAACCCGGUAUAUCCAUCACCAAUAUUGUCACAUCUCAGAUGAGAUUAUCAUCAGCUCUUGUAACUGAGAUAGAAGGUUAUACUUACAUGUAACUGAGGUAGAAUGUUAUACUUACAUGUAACUGAGGUAGAAUGUUAUACUUACAUGUAACUGAGGUAGAAUGUUAUACUUACAUGUAACUGAGGUAGAAUGUUAUACUUACAUGUAACUGAGGUAGAAGGUUAAACUUACAUGUAACUGAGGUAGAAGGUUAUACUUACAUGUAACUGAGGUAGAAGGUUAUACUUACAUGUAACUGAG